GCGCCAACGGUGCUUUGUGCAGUGGAGACAAAAAUUGCGAAGUAUUGGAUGGGAGGUGUGGCGGGAACUUUGGGUUUUAAUAGUCCUUAUGGAGUAGGCAGUUUGUGGAGAAGUGGUGGUUUGUGUGUUUAUUGGAAGAACUCGGUUGCUUUGUCGCUUAGAAAACUUUCUCAGUAUCAUAUUGAUAUGGAGGUGAAAGAAGGGGACAAGGAUGACGUGUUGCUGUGGUGA
rnacentral:rRNA from 1 species